ACUUUUAUCCAUUUUUUUAACAUUAUUAGAUUUCUAAGAAGAGAACAAUAUAUGUGAUGCAAUUACAUAAUCGUUGCCAAAACUUGUUAAUUUUUUAAUGUUGAUCAUACCAUGCUGAUCAAAAUCUUCCAUGUAUAGCCCUGAAAGAACGAAAACCAUGCUUCUUUGAGCUGAUUCUUUUCUUCCACUGGAUUAGAACUAAUCAAAUCUCGAAAUUUUAUGACAGUCCCCAGUCCAUUGACUUCCUCUAGAUUGAAAAAGAAAAUAAGAUUUGAGUAUUCAAAAAAGUGAAAGCACCAAAAUUAUACAUGAGCUAUACAGAUUAAAAUUUACAGAUUCAAUCUUCAAAAAACUCGUGGUUUAACUAGAUGAGUUUGAACCAAAUAUUUUCAAGCCCCACCGCGAAGUAAAUCUGGUUUUUCCUGUACUAUACCUAAACACUAAAGUCAAAAUUCAUAAAGUUUCACAUUUAAUUGAACAACAUUAACACACAAAAUCUUGUCUCAUCAGUUAUAUUUGUUGCAAAACUAACCGAUGUCUCCCUUCCAAUAAGAGAUACCAUUCAUUUCGAAUGAUAACUAAGUAUCAUG
rnacentral:lncRNA from 1 species